rnacentral:rRNA from 1 species
UACGGAGGGGGCUAGCGUUGUUCGGAAUUACUGGGCGUAAAGCGCACGUAGGCGGCUUUGUAAGUUAGAGGUGAAAGCCCGGGGCUCAACUCCGGAAUUGCCUUUAAGACUGCAUCGCUAGAAUUGUGGAGAGGUAAGUGGAAUUCCGAGUGUAGAGGUGAAAUUCGUAGAUAUUCGCAAGAACACCAGUGGCGAAGGCGGCUCACUGGCCCAUAACUGACGCUGAGGCACGAAAGCGUGGGGAGCAAACAGG